UGGGGAAUAUUGGACAAUGGGGGCAACCCUGAUCCAGCAAUGCCGCGUGAGUGAUGAAGGCCUUAGGGUUGUAAAGCUCUUUUACCCGGGAUGAUAAUGACAGUACCGGGAGAAUAAGCCCCGGCUAACUCCGUGCCAGCAGCCGCGGUAAUACGGAGGGGGCUAGCGUUGUUCGGAAUUACUGGGCGUAAAGCGCACGUAGGCGGCGAUUUAAGUCAGAGGUGAAAGCCCGGGGCUCAACCCCGGAAUAGCCUUUGAGACUGGAUUGCUUGAACAUCGGAGAGGUGAGUGGAAUUCCGAGUGUAGAGGUGAAAUUCGUAGAUAUUCGGAAGAACACCAGUGGCGAAGGCGGCUCACUGGACGAUUGUUGACGCUGAGGUGCGAAAGCGUGGGGAGCAAACA
rnacentral:rRNA from 1 species